GACGGAGGAUGCAAACGUUAUCCGGAAUGAUUGGGCGUAAAGCGUCCGCAGGUGGCAGUUCAAGUCUGCUGUCAAAGACCGGGGCUUAACUUCGGAAAGGCAGUGGAAACUGAACAGCUAGAGUAUGGUAGGGGCAGAGGGAAUUCCUGGUGUAGCGGUGAAAUGCGUAGAUAUCGGGAGGAACACCAGUGGCGAAGGCGGCUGUCUGGGCCAGUUCUGACGCUGAGGCGCGAAAGCGUGGGGAGCAAACAGG
rnacentral:rRNA from 1 species